AAUGGGUCAGCGACUUAUAUUCUGUAGCAAGGUUAACCGAAUAGGGGAGCCGAAGGGAAACCGAGUCUUAACUGGGCGUUAAGUUGCAGGGUAUAGACCCGAAACCCGGUGAUCUAGCCAUGGGCAGGUUGAAGGUUGGGUAACACUAACUGGAGGACCGAACCGACUAAUGUUGAAAAAUUAGCGGAUGACUUGUGGCUGGGGGUGAAAGGCCAAUCAAACCGGGAGAUAGCUGGUUCUCCCCGAAAGCUAUUUAGGUAGCGCCUCGUGAAUUCAUCUCCGGGGGUAGAGCACUGUUUCGGCAAGGGGGUCAUCCCGACUUACCAACCCGAUGCAAACUGCGAAUACCGGAGAAUGUUAUCACGGGAGACACACGGCGGGUGCUAACGUCCGUCGUGAAGAGGGAAACAACCCAGACCGCCAGCUAAGGUCCCAAAGUCAUGGUUAAGUGGGAAACGAUGUGGGAAGGCCCAGACAGCCAGGAUGUUGGCUUAGAAGCAGCCAUCAUUUAAAGAAAGCGUAAUAGCUCACUGGUCGAGUCGGCCUGCGCGGAAGAUGUAACGGGGCUAAACCAUGCACCGAAGCUGCGGCAGCGACGCUUAUGCGUUGUUGGGUAGGGGAGCGUUCUGUAAGCCUGUGAAGGUGUGCUGUGAGGCAUGCUGGAGGUAUCAGAAGUGCGAAUGCUGACAUAAGUAACGAUAAAGCGGGUGAAAAGCCCGCUCGCCGGAAGACCAAGGGUUCCUGUCCAACGUUAAUCGGGGCAGGGUGAGUCGACCCCUAAGGCGAGGCCGAAAGGCGUAGUCGAUGGGAAACAGGUUAAUAUUCCUGUACUUGGUGUUACUGCGAAGGGGGGACGGAGAAGGCUAUGUUGGCCGGGCGACGGUUGUCCCGGUUUAAGCGUGUAGGCUGGUUUUCCAGGCAAAUCCGGAAAAUCAAGGCUGAGGCGUGAUGACGAGGCACUACGGUGCUGAAGCAACAAAUGCCCUGCUUCCAGGAAAAGCCUCUAAGCAUCAGGUAACAUCAAAUCGUACCCCAAACCGACACAGGUGGUCAGGUAGAGAAUACCAAGGCGCUUGAGAGAACUCGGGUGAAGGAACUAGGCAAAAUGGUGCCGUAACUUCGGGAGAAGGCACGCUGAUAUGUAGGUGAAGUCCCUCGCGGAUGGAGCUGAAAUCAGUCGAAGAUACCAGCUGGCUGCAACUGUUUAUUAAAAACACAGCACUGUGCAAACACGAAAGUGGACGUAUACGGUGUGACGCCUGCCCGGUGCCGGAAGGUUAAUUGAUGGGGUCAGCGCAAGCGAAGCUCUUGAUCGAAGCCCCGGUAAACGGCGGCCGUAACUAUAACGGUCCUAAGGUAGCGAAAUUCCUUGUCGGGUAAGUUCCGACCUGCACGAAUGGCGUAAUGAUGGCCAGGCUGUCUCCACCCGAGACUCAGUGAAAUUGAACUCGCUGUGAAGAUGCAGUGUACCCGCGGCAAGACGGAAAGACCCCGUGAACCUUUACUAUAGCUUGACACUGAACAUUGAGCCUUGAUGUGUAGGAUAGGUGGGAGGCUUAGAAGUGUGGACGCCAGUCUGCAUGGAGCCGACCUUGAAAUACCACCCUUUAAUGUUUGAUGUUCUAACGUUGACCCGUAAUCCGGGUUGCGGACAGUGUCUGGUGGGUAGUUUGACUGGGGCGGUCUCCUCCUAAAGAGUAACGGAGGAGCACGAAGGUUGGCUAAUCCUGGUCGGACAUCAGGAGGUUAGUGCAAUGGCAUAAGCCAGCUUGACUGCGAGCGUGACGGCGCGAGCAGGUGCGAAAGCAGGUCAUAGUGAUCCGGUGGUUCUGAAUGGAAGGGCCAUCGCUCAACGGAUAAAAGGUACUCCGGGGAUAACAGGCUGAUACCGCCCAAGAGUUCAUAUCGACGGCGGUGUUUGGCACCUCGAUGUCGGCUCAUCACAUCCUGGGGCUGAAGUAGGUCCCAAGGGUAUGGCUGUUCGCCAUUUAAAGUGGUACGCGAGCUGGGUUUAGAACGUCGUGAGACAGUUCGGUCCCUAUCUGCCGUGGGCGCUGGAGAACUGAGGGGGGCUGCUCCUAGUACGAGAGGACCGGAGUGGACGCAUCACUGGUGUUCGGGUUGUCAUGCCAAUGGCACUGCCCGGUAGCUAAAUGCGGAAGAGAUAAGUGCUGAAAGCAUCUAAGCACGAAACUUGCCCCGAG
rnacentral:rRNA from 1 species